GACGAACGCUGGCGGCGUGCCUAAUACAUGCAAGUAGAACGCUGAAGGAGGAGCUUGCUUCUCCGGAUGAGUUGCGAACGGGUGAGUAACGCGUAGGUAACCUGCCUGGUAGCGGGGGAUAACUAUUGGAAACGAUAGCUAAUACCGCAUAAGAGUAGAUGUUGCAUGACAUUUGCUUAAAAGGUGCAAUUGCAUCACUACCAGAUGGACCUGCGUUGUAUUAGCUAGUUGGUGGGGUAACGGCUCACCAAGGCGACGAUACAUAGCCGACCUGAGAGGGUGAUCGGCCACACUGGGACUGAGACACGGCCCAGACUCCUACGGGAGGCAGCAGUAGGGAAUCUUCGGCAAUGGACGGAAGUCUGACCGAGCAACGCCGCGUGAGUGAAGAAGGUUUUCGGAUCGUAAAGCUCUGUUGUAAGAGAAGAACGAGUGUGAGAGUGGAAAGUUCACACUGUGACGGUAUCUACCAGAAAGG
rnacentral:rRNA from 1 species